GACGUAGGGUGCAAGCGUUAUCCGGAUUUACUGGGCGUAAAGAGCGCGUAGGCGGUAUGUUAAGUGAGAAGUGAAAUCUCCAGGGCUCAACUCGGAAACGGCUUCUCAUACUGGCAUACUUGAGGGAUGCAGAGGUUAAUGGAAUUCCUGGUGUAGCAGUGAUAUGCAUUGAUAUCAGGAGGAACACCCAUGGCGAAGGCAGUUAACUGGGCAUCAUCUGACGCUGAGGCGCGAAAGCGUGGGUAGCAAACAGG
rnacentral:rRNA from 1 species